UCACAGUGAUCACAAAGCAGUGAUUGUGAAACGUAAACGCCGUCAUCUGCCGCACCAACUCAAGAGCAAGCAAUGCAAGAUUCAACGUCUCCAUACAAAGCGCUGCAAGCGGAGGAGGCACACCGAGCAGUGCCGACACAAGAAAGAGACAACACAAUACCAAGCAAAUACAACAUUACACACAAAAUUAAUAAAAAAAACCAAUCCGAUGGUUUUUGUUUCACGCCAAACCUUGCUCUCCAUAUUGGCGCGCAAAAAAGGGGCGGCGCAACUUGCACGCGAAA
rnacentral:lncRNA from 1 species